UAGAUGGAGUUGGCCGUCCGACUGCGGUCUGGAGUGUGGGGCCUCCCUGCUGCUACGGAGUCGGGGUGGUCGGGCGCGUCACUGCAACUCCCCCUGGCUUCUGCUCCGCGGCUGCUGAGUGAACCCUCAUCUGGGACUCUCCUCAGCUCUUACUGGAACAGUGGCGCGGCUGCCCCUCUGUUGGUCUUCCAUGGUUUCUUGUGUUCUGGGGGCCUCUGGAUGUCUGGAGUUUUGAUCUCCUCCAUACCUGCCUCACACCCUGGAGGACGGGGCUGUGGCCCCCCCACACUCCCUAGCAGAUCGUUACAUGGAGAAACCUUUGGAAUACAAGCGCGCUGAUCCACACAGGUAUGCACACGGGUGUUCACUGCUCGUAGACCCAAAUUACACCUUUCUUGGCUGCUACUUCGAAGCACAUCUGUCCUGCGUGCUGCACAACAACAUUGAAUAUUUAGUAUUUACUGCUGUUUACACUUAGCUAGAUUAAUGCGAUGGUGUUGUGUUUAGUAUGUUGCUUUGUUUCUUUUUUUUUUGUCUUUUUUUGCUUGUUUUCUAUUCUUCUCUCAACAGGUGAUCCAGGAGAUUUUUUUUUCUCCCCCCCUUUCUCACUGUCCCUCUCCCCUUCUGUUUUUCAUUUCCUUCCUCUUUCUUUCUCCCUUUCCUAUCUCUCACUCAUGUCUGUCCCGUCUGUAACAUCUGAAAAUAAAAUAUAAUAAAUAAUAAAAACAAAGAUCGACCAAAUGGACCAAUACGGCAAUGCCACGAUGAUCCAUUUGGCAAAGUAAAUCCAUUGGGUAUCCUUGUUGGUCUUCAGACAACAAUUCUGAUGGCUAAAGAACCAAAUGGGACAGGCGGGAAAAAAAAACAAAAAAAAAAACAAAAAACAAAAAAAACAGCAGUUUAUUUAGUUCCUAAAAAUGUUCACAGCCAGGUACAAAAAAGGCUUUGGGUAGUUUUUCCAUUAUAAAAACUGUACAAUGGGUGAUUUUAAAAGAUAAUUCAUCUGUUUGGACAUAGAUAAGGUUUAAAGUUGGCGUUUUAUUAUAGUAUUCUGUUACUCAGCACCGGUUAGCAGAUGUGUGGCCUGCAGCUUGCAACCCAAACUUGCUAGUGUUAGCGGAUGACUUUCCAGCAAAGGCCGACUUAAGCAUCUAUUCUAUGUGGAAACAUCCUCAGCAUUCAUCUGCCUGUGGCUCGGAUUUUGUAGUCGUACCACCAGUUUUCAACUCAGAAAUCAGGGUAGAUUCUCAACUUUUUGCUGGGUUAGCUCUCUAUCUUAUUAAAAUAUGCUUACAUCGCACCAUGACUGGUCCAAACUAGCACUGAGGUGGCUGUGUUCCUAUUUUUCUUUCUUAUUGGUUCAUCCUCAAGAGACUAACUCAGGAAAUACUGUUUCAAUCUGAAGUGUCUGCCAGUAAUGAUGAUUCACUCCCAUUUCC
ensembl:lncRNA